rnacentral:rRNA from 1 species
CCUACGGGUGGCAGCAGUGAGGAAUAUUGGUCAAUGGGCGCGAGCCUGAACCAGCCAAGUAGCGUGAAGGAUGACUGCCCUACGGGUUGUAAACUUCUUUUAUAAAGGAAUAAAGUGAGGCACGUGUGCCUUUUUGUAUGUACUUUAUGAAUCAGGCUCGGCUAACUCCGUGCCAGCAGCCGCGGUGAUACGGAGGAUCCGAGCGUUAUCCGGAUUUAUUGGGUUUAAAGGGAGCGUAGAUGGGUUGUUAAGUCAGUUGGGAAAGUUUGCGGCUCAACCGUAAAAGUGCAAUUGAUACUGGCAGGCUUGAGUACAGUUGAGGUAGGCGGAAUUCGUGGUGUAGCGGUGAAAUGCUUAGAGAUCACGAAGAACUCCGAUUGCGAAGGCAGCCUACUAAACUGCCACUGACAUUGAUGCUCGAAAGUGUGGGUAGCAAACAGGAUUAGAUACCCCAAUAGUC